rnacentral:rRNA from 1 species
GACGUAGGGCGCGAGCGUUGUCCGGAAUUAUUGGGCGUAAAGAGCUCGUAGGCGGUUUGUCGCGUCGAAUGUGAAAACCCGGGGCUCAACCCCGGGCCUGCAUUCGAUACGGGCAGACUAGAGUUCGGUAGGGGAGUCUGGAAUUCCUGGUGUAGCGGUGAAAUGCGCAGAUAUCAGGAGGAACACCGGUGGCGAAGGCGGGACUCUGGGCCGAUACUGACGCUGAGGAGCGAAAGCGUGGGGAGCAAACAGG